rnacentral:rRNA from 1 species
AUACGUAGGUCACGAGCGUUAUCCGGAAUUAUUGGGCGUAAAGAGUGAGCAGGCGGUGAAGUAAGUCUGGAGUGAAAGCGUGGGGCUCAACCCCAUACAGCUUUGGAAACUACUUCGCUAGAGUACGAGAGAAGUAAGCGGAAUUCCAUGUGUAGCGGUGAAAUGCGUAGAUAUAUGGAGGAACACCGGUGGCGAAGGCGGCUUACUAGCUCGAUACUGACGCUCAGUCACGAAAGCGUGGGGAGC